rnacentral:rRNA from 1 species
ACGCUCGACACCUACGGGAGGAGCAGUAGGGAAUCUUCCACAAUGGGCGCAAGCCUGAUGGAGCAACACCGCGUGAGUGAAGAAGGGUUUCGGCUCGUAAAGCUCUGUUGUUGGAGAAGAACGUGCGUGAGAGUAACUGUUCACGCAGUGACGGUAUCCAACCAGAAAGUCACGGCUAACUACGUGCCCGCAGCCGCGGUAAUCUGAGCGGGCUGGCAAGGC